AUGACCAGAGACAACCAGAGGAAAAGACAUAUUAUUAAACCCCUUGACUGUGUUUUGUGCUUUGAGCAUGAAACCAUCUCUCACCUGUUCUUUGAGUGUGUUGUAGCAAAAUAUGCCUGGUCGUUUAUAAUUGACCACUUCAGGGUCCAGACAGGGACUGAUUUUGAAUUGGUAGCCAGAUUCUGGAUCUCUAACAAGAAGAACUCGGCUUUAAAUAUAGUUUCUUCAGCAGUCAUGUGGUGUUUGUGGAAGUAUAGGAAGUCUAUAAUCUUUAACAACACCAUUUGGACAUCUAUUUCGCAGGUUUGGAGGCUGAUCCUUAGAACACUCAAAUUCUGGGUGAUCCUGGGUCCAGAAAGUGGCAGGGCACGUCUAGGGAGCUUCAUGACAGCGCUAGCUACGUUCUCCCAGCUGCCGCUGAGGAUAACGAGUUGCUGA
rnacentral:rRNA from 1 species